rnacentral:rRNA from 1 species
GCAUAACGCGAAGAACCUUACCUGGUCUUGACAUAGUAAGAACUUUCCAGAGAUGGAUUGGUGCCUUCGGGAACUUACAUACAGGUGCUGCAUGGCCGUCGUCAGCUCGUGUCGUGAGAUGUUGGGUUAAGUCCCGCAACGAGCGCAACCCUUUUCCUUAUUUGCCAGCGGGUUAAGCCGGGAACUUUAAGGAUACUGCCAGUGACAAACUGGAGGAAGGCGGGGACGACGUCAAGUCAUCAUGGCCCUUACGACCAGGGCUACACACGUGCUACAAUGGUCGGUACAAAGGGUUGCUACCUAGCGAUAGGAUGCUAAUCUCAAAAAGCCGAUCGUAGUCCGGAUUGGAGUCUGCAACUCGACUCCAUGAAGUCGGAAUCGCUAGUAAUCGCGGAUCAGAAUGCCGCGGUGAAUACGUUCCCGGGUCUUGUACACACCG